rnacentral:rRNA from 1 species
UAGCGUAGGGUGCAAGCGUUAAUCGGAAUUACUGGGCGUAAAGCGUGCGCAGGCGGUUUUGUAAGACAGAGGUGAAAUCCCCGGGCUUAACCUGGGAACUGCAUUUGUGACUGCAUAGCUAGAGUACGGUAGAGGGGGGAUGGAAUUCCGCGUGUAGCAGUGAAAUGCGUAGAUAUGCGGGAGGAACACCGAGUGGCGAAGGCAAUCCCCUGGACCUGUACUGACGCUCAUGGCACGAAAGCGUGGGGAGCAAACAGG